UGGUAUGAAAAGAAGUUUGUGGUGAUGUUGUGGAGUCACCUGACGCUUGCUAACCUCUGGACGACGGCAGUUUUACAUGAACGUAAUAUAAGUACUGGAUAUGGUGCCGGAGCUCAGCCUUGCAGACAUUUUUUCCAGUGGCUACUUCUCAUUAAACAUCCAUGGUCAUGGCUGUACAUAAGAUCUUAUUACCUAUCUAAUGCUUUUCUCGGUUUUUACGGUGCUGACGUAUGUCGUCAGUGACUGUGGCGUGUCUCGUGAUUGGCCAUUAACCUCUGGGUGGAGCGCAGAGAGGCGGAGAAACGGAAGUCGGAAAACAGAUAUAAACCACGUUUGAUACAUUGCAUCUGUUUGCCAGUACUGUUAGAAAAUGCUGUUACUGUUCAGGUCUGGACGCUUAAACAAACUCUGGAGCUAAUUUUUUCGUCGAACACGAGUGAGACUGGAUGCUGAACAUACCUGCGGCGCGAAGGUUUACUGAUUCAGCUGCUGCAGCCUGGACAGAAACUCCAGCUCUCACUUUACAAACCAAACAGGUGUCACCACUUCGCCCAUGAUCGCAGAGAGUCUUCGUACAAUGAAGAAGUUCUUUGAGACCAGGACAGAGGCCUCCAGGAUUCAAAUCGCAACCAUCAAAUCACAGAGAGAAGAGACAGACGUGAAGACAUUUCCAGAAGGUCUUCAGCUGCUGCUGUCUUCUCCUCCUGCAGAGACAAGGUGUUAAUCACAUUUUUGGACAUAUUUUUUGCCUUACAGGUGGCUUAUGACAAAGGAACUAUCUUAAAGCAGCGAUCGUACCAUUGUUUUCCACAGACAUGCACCUUUACACAGUGUGGGUUACAUUAGAUUUUGUGUUCAUUUUGGUAUUUUGCUAUUUCAAUAUCAGUACUCAAAUCCAAUUUCUUACUGUGUACACAGUUCUGUUUAUACUGUUCAUAUUGUUUUAUAUCUAUAACAUUUUUAUAUGUUAUUAUAUGUUAUCUUAUUUUAAAUCAUGUCUUGUUUAUAUUGUGCCUUUUUCUAUUUUUGCUGCUGCAACACUAAAUUUCACUGCUGUGGGACUAAUAAAUGAUUAUCCUACUGAAAUAAAUACUUCUGAACACUGGAUAUUUUGCCUGAUCUCUUUGAUAUUGUAUGAACGUGAAUAUUUUGUAGCCAGGAGUAGGGGUACAGCCUUUUUUUCAUGCCAUACUAUACUAUGACAUU